rnacentral:rRNA from 1 species
UACGUAGGGUGCAAGCGUUGUCCGGAAUUAUUGGGCGUAAAGAGCUCGUAGGCGGUCUGUCGCGUCGGCUGUGAAAACUCGGGGCUCAACCCCGAGCCUGCAGUCGAUACGGGCAGACUAGAGUGCUGUAGGGGAGACUGGAAUUCCUGGUGUAGCGGUGAAAUGCGCAGAUAUCGAGGAGGAACACCGGUGCGAAGGCGGGUCUCUGGGCAGUAACUGACGCUGAGGAGCGAAAGCGUGGGGAGCGAACAGGA